rnacentral:misc_RNA from 1 species
UUAAGUGUCAUUCGACUGCGCUCUCAGACGUUCUAAAUGCUACUUUGCACGAAGUGUUUUCAAGUGUGCCGCCGGCAGGCUGACCCUCCCCCCGCCGCGAAGGCGAGAAGGAGGCGCUGCCGAAGCAACAAAGGUUUUCACAGAGGGUUCACCGUUCCGGCGCCUCCCGGGGGAAACCGGGGGACGCCUUCUGGCUACGGGUUUUUAGACGGCCCCCGGGGCCCUUCAUUUUUUAAUGAUCCUUCCGCAGGUUCACCUACGGAAA